CAUCUGUUGGUUGGGUUGCAACAAUUUUGGUUUUACAGUCAGAACAAAUAGGACAAGUUGUGAUGACUUCAGUAACAGUUUAUUAAGAUGUUUGCUUUCAACAAUCAAGUACAUCCAUGUCCUGAGGGAAGGGAGACAGAGAAUACGCCAAUAAGCUAGACUUUUGCUAAUCAGAUUUAGCCUCAUCAUAAACGUCAGAUGCGCUGCUAUAGUGCCCUACAUAUAGCUAGUUCUCACAGCACUUCAGCUCGAGACCCUACAUAUUUUUUUCUCUUUGCUGACACCACUGAACCUACCUGUGUUAUAGAAGACAGUGGAACGGAUGGUGCAGUUCUCAAACACCGUGUCUGUGGACUUGAUGUCCUCAAAGUGACAGUCUUCAAACAGAUCUGUCAGUAGAGAUGAGAGAACAGUUGGUCAUGAAAGGCCACUUCUGCCAACUUAAAUGCAAGAUUUUGUCUGUUUGGAGAAUCUGCAAAGUAUCACAGAGUACUACUGACACUAAGUUUUGUGUCACUGUUGACUUGGAUGUUACUGUAAUCAGCUGGAUCACAUUGUUACAUAUACCUGCUACUCUGUGCUGUUAGCCGAGUCCUGGACACAGACAGAAAAGCGCUUUGCAAUUAGUUGCAAGCUUCAACUCUUUAACGGUUCAGAUGAAAAAUGAGCAACAACACGUUGCUCAUUUUUCAUCUGAACUGUGAGGUUCAGUUUAACAGCUUUGUCCUUGGGCUGCUACACCAAGCUUAGAGAAACAUUUGGGUGCUUGAACAAAAUAAGGGAGCGUAUCUUUACCCACUUCAUUUAGAGAAAACCUCUUGCAUAUGUAUGUAUACAUUGUAUAUUAAACUGUUAAUGGUAUCCAACAAUAGUGAUAACAGUGCGAAGCCUUCAUAAACCAUUCAAGGUUUACAGUCUUCA